AAGUUACUUAUCCUCUGUGAAGUAUGAUGUAUUGAGUCAUAUCAGAAGACAUAGCCAAUUUGGGGAAUGUAAAAACAUUCAAAAUAUGGCUGGACAGCAGAUCUGUGAGCUUUGCCAGAUGGGCUCUGUGUUCAGGAGCAGCAGAGAAAGAACAUCUUGCUUUCUUACUGUUUGCUUUUAGCAUCUCAGUACCAGCACGGAGAUGAGGGGGUUGGUGCCACUCCUGUCAUGUGUAUUUCAUCACAUGUUUUUCCCAUUCCAUCUCUUCCUGACCACCUGUGUUGUCUCAUCUCUCUCUUGUUGGCUGUGUGACCUCCAUCUCUGGACAGCUUGUUUCAUUCUUCAUACUCCAAAGUCAUCAGAACCUGGCAGUCCUUAGCAGCAGUGAGGGCAGCUGGCCACAAGAGGACCCAGAUGAGGAUGUCAUUGUGCUCUUCCCAUCGUGACCAUGAUGCAAAAAGUCCUUCCAGGGAUUGCCUGUUGGAUUUCAUUGGCAGCUUCAGAAGAUGAGCUGAGAGGAAGAGCUUCUGCAUGAGGCACGGCCCAGAGGGACGCUCAGUGCCUGCCUUGGCUGUGUGCUCGCUCACGUCUCCCUGCUGCCCUGCAGCUGGAGAAGGCUUGAAGGUUGAAAUACAAGUCCAGGACAAAUCCAUCAUUGGAGAGGUCUGGGCAUCCCUGCGAUGUCCCACUGGUGUCAGCGUUGGUGGAAGGAAGGAGACCCAGUCCCCACUGUGAUGCUGGGGGUGCCCUAUGCUGGAUUCCACAGGUGCCAAGAGAGGAGGAACUGCCACUUCCCAGGAGCAGUGGUAGAUAACUGGCUGCCAACAGCUCGGGAGGAAAAUGAGCUGCCUGAGCUGUGAGAACUAUUUCUGGAGGUGAAGCCUGACACUGAACUAGAUGCCAGUUCUGGUGAUGGAAUCAAAACAUUCCUGCUGCCCUCAGUGGGUUUAGCCAGGCUGUCACGUCUGCAGAUGUAACAGCAAGGCACGGCACCAGUGGACCGUUGGCUGAAGGGAAGAGAGAAGUUGGAAGCUGUCUGUCUGCAAUUUUGGCUUUGCAGUACUGGCUUGGAGUGAGGCAAAAAAGCAGCAGUACCAGGCAGCAACGUGCACCAAACCACAGAGCUCUGCAAGAGGAAAAUCUGCUCCACUCCUUCAAAGCCUGUCCUGCAACUUGUUUCUAGGUGGAUGUACAGAAGGAUGUCCGUGCCUCAGAAAGCUGCAGUCCCUACUGGCUGGCUUUCUGGCAAUGCGAUUCCUUUGCUUCCUACGCAGUUCUAGAUCAAACUCCAGUUAAUGAGUCACCGAGGAUCCCCAUGGUCGGGAAAGACCCCAGCACGUAAGUAGUUGUUACUACAGUAAAAGAUGCCAGACAAUCUUUUCCUGAAAUGGUAGCCAGUAGAUACUCACUCAUUUCAGCUUUUAUUUACGUACGUGUUAUGAAAAGGACAGUGGUGCUGGCUUUAGGACAUUAGCAACACUUAAUAAUAACACUUAUGUAGGUGUGCACACGUGUACGUGGAAUGAGCAAAUCAUACAUAGCUCCACCUUUAUCUUCAGGCAAGAAGAAAAGAGGUGCUUUUUUCCUGUUGAUCCCUGUUGCUACUUCAGCAAUUGUUUCCUGUGGCUGUACUACGUCUGUAGUUUUCAAUUAUGGGUGAUUAAGUAUGAAUCUAUACUUUAUUAUUAGCUACAUCUAUAUCUACUCCAAUUAUAUGUGUAGCGUGCGUACACAGACACCAGCUGCUAGAAUAAAAUAGACCUUUAUUGAUUUUUUUCCUGGAGUUAUACGCUUGCAAGAUCAAAUUUUCUAUU